rnacentral:lncRNA from 1 species
AAGAGGGUGAGACUCUGAGAAGUGUGCAAGAAGAAAACAUAUUUGGUGUUAUGGCUUCAUCUCUUUCAAAGGAGUGGAAACUGGGCCAAAAUCAGACAGUGCCAGACAGUGUUGACAAGAAGAUGAAAAAGACUACAAAGAUAUAGUAAACGGAAAAUUUGGAUUAGUGAAUCUACUAAAUAAGAUGAGAUACAUCAAGGGACAUGGUGACAGAAUCAACUCAGAUUUAAUCCACUGAAUCUGCUUGCCAUGGGACUAAGAGGCAGGAGAAUGUCAGGAAUGACCCAGCACAUGCCUGGUUGUGCAAGAGCCACCUCCUGCUCUUUCCGGAGCCAAGCCUGGGCCCUAUAAAAGACACAUCCAGCUUCAGCACUUCAUCUGCUCUGACUCCCCAGGGACGUGUCUGUGCUCCUGCGUGUGACGAGGGUGAGUGGCAACCUGGGAUACCAGAGGGGUAUGAGCAAGGCAGAGGGAUGGGGAGGAUGGAGGUAGGCUGGAGAAAGAGUGGUGUGCUUGUGUUCUGCCAUACUGAGCAGGAAUGGGA